rnacentral:rRNA from 1 species
CAGCAGUAGGGAAUCUUCACAAUGGGCGCAAGCCUGAUGGAGCAACACCGCGUGAGUGAAGAAGGGUUUCGGCUCGUAAAGCUCUGUUGUUUAAAGAAGAACACGUAUGAGAGUAACUGUUCAUACGUUGACGGUAUUUAACCAGAAAGUCACGGCUAACUACGUGCCAGCAGCCGCGGUAAUACGUAGGUGGCAAGCGUUAUCCGGAUUUAUUGGGCGUAAAGAGAGUGCAGGCGGUUUUCUAAGUCUGAUGUGAAAGCCUUCGGCUUAACCGGAGAAGUGCAUCGGAAACUGGAUAACUUGAGUGCAGAAGAGGGUAGUGGAACUCCAUGUGUAGCGGUGGAAUGCGUAGAUAUAUGGAAGAACACCAGUGGCGAAGGCGGCUACCUGGUCUGCAACUGACGCUGAGACUCGAAAGCAUGGGUAGCGAACAGGAUUAGAUACCCUGGUAG